AAACGACUCUCGGCAACGGAUAUCUCGGCUCUCGCAUCGAUGAAGAACGUAGCGAAAUGCGAUACUUGGUGUGAAUUGCAGAAUCCCGUGAACCAUYGAGUYUUUGAACGCAAGUUGCGCCCGAAGCCACUAGGCCGAGGGCACGUCUGCCUGGGCGUCACGC
rnacentral:rRNA from 1 species